rnacentral:rRNA from 1 species
UACGUAGGGACCAAGCGUUGUUCGGAUUUACUGGGCGUAAAGGGCGCGUAGGCGGUAUAUUAAGUCAGCUGUGAAAUCUCCGAGCUUAACUCGGAACUGUCAGCUGAUACUGAUGUGCUAGAGUGCAGAAGGGGCAAUCGGAAUUCUUGGUGUAGCGGUGAAAUGCGUAGAUAUCAAGAGGAACACCUGAGGUGAAGACGGGUUGCUGGGCUGACACUGACGCUGAGUGCGCGAAAGCCAGGGGAGCAAACGGG